GCCCGGGUGGCGGAACUGGCAGACGCAGAGGGCUUAAACCCCUUGGUCCGCAAGGGCUUGCGGGUUCGAAUCCCGCCCCGGGCA
rnacentral:tRNA from 1 species